GGGGGAGGUGCCAAGCGUCCAGAGGUGGCAGAACGGAGAGGUCUGGCUGGUGAAAACAGACCUCCGAAACCAGCUUCAAGGAACAACACCUGGCUGCCUACUUCAGCAUCUCCUUAAAUGGACCCCAUCCUGAUGCCUUCCCAUAUGAUAGUGCAUUGGAAUAUUUUCCCACAAAGCCCUAUAAAAUAAGAUGUUGAAACAAACAGUACACACUUUGCAACAAGUAGGCUGUGCAGCAGUCACUUAAAGUGUAGCAAUGCAGCACUCACUGUAUAUUUUCCCACUUAUUUUACACAAAGUGUUGCCAGUGGAGCACUGUAUAUUUUCCUGUUAUUUCACAAACUUUACCAAUUGAGCACUCACUGUAUAUGUUUUCCAGUUCUUUCACACAAAUUAAAGCUAUAGACCACUGUAUAUAUUUCCUUAUUUGUUUGACACAACUUGAAGCCAUGGAACUGUAUAUAUUCUGUUAUUUUUUUCUCACAAAGUACUUCCCAAUUCAAAUAUUUCCAGUGCCCACCUUAUAUGGUAUUAUUUCAUAACUCAUUUUAAAAAGCGUGUGCCUCCUCCCCCCAGUCAGCUACCACUAAAAAUACAAUCUCAUUCUGUGGAGAGGGGCAUACAGGGGAUGACCAAUAAUUGGAUGGCCCAUGUGCGUUAUUUUGUAUAUUACAUUUACAUUUAUUUUCCCUUUGCGUUUUUGUGCUCUCUUGCCAUUUUACUUAUGAUUUUACUCUGUAUUUUUUUCUUUAUUUAUAUUACAAUUAAAACAAUUUACUUAAUCUUUU